GAUGAACGCUAGCUACAGGCUUAACACAUGCAAGUCGAGGGGUAACGAGAGGAAAGCUUGCUUUCCUUGUCGACGACCGGCGCACGGGUGAGUAACGCGUAUCCAACCUGCCCCCAACUAGGGAAUAACCUUGCGAAAGUAAGACUAAUACCCUAUAAUUUCCUCAGAUGUCAUCUGACGAGGAAUAAAGAUUUAUCGGUUGUGGAUGGGGAUGCGUCUGAUUAGCUUGUUGGCGGGGUAACGGCCCACCAAGGCAACGAUCAGUAGGGGUUCCGAGAGGAAGGUCCCCCACAUUGGGACUGAGACACGGUCCAAACUACUACGGGAGGCAGCAGUGAGGAAUAUUGGUCAAUGGGCGGAAGCCUGAACCAGCCAAGUAGCGUGCAGGAUGACGGCCCUAUGGGUUGUAAACUGCUUUUAUACAGGAAUAAAGUUAGCCACGUGUGGUUAUUUGUAGGUACUGUAUGAAUAAGGACCGGCUAAUUCCGUGCCAGCCGCCGCCGUAA
rnacentral:rRNA from 1 species